rnacentral:lncRNA from 1 species
GGCUAGGGCUCAAAUCGGAGGCUCCUCGCAGCAGGGUCCCUGCUGUGGGACCCGCGCGGCAGGCGGCACGUCUGAUACUAGGUACUACCCCACGCACCAGACCACUGGUGUUCACUGGCUUGUUUCUUUGAAGUCCCGAGUGUCCAGGGACACCUCAGAUUCUAGCCCAGCAGCCCGGGGGGAUUUUAGCCAUCCCCUCGUCCCGAUUUUCAGCUUUUCUCCCACAGUGAAAACCCUGGCUCUUCCCCUCUGGAACCGGCUCGUUAGUUUCAGGGCUCGUUUCCCAUCCUCGGGUAAAGCCCUCUCCGAAUCGCUGACCCCCCAGCCCACGCGGAAGACGUCGGGAUGAUUCUGGGGCAUCCAGGCCCAGUUCCUCCCGCCUCCCGACGCCCUGCGGCAGGGACCCGGGCAGCCCUCGGGUGCAGUGGGGUGGGCGCUGGCGACAGACCUCGAUUCACGCGUCGGUGUUUAGACUUCCUGUUGGUUUCCCGCGCAUCCUGAGGUGGUUGCAACUGUUUACGUUUUGGAAAUGGGAAGAGUGAGAGAGAGACACUUUUCACGUUAAACACACACACACACGCACACACAUGGUCAUGCUGCUAUCUGCAACUCAGAUUUAAGAGGGUGCAGGGUUUUAAUGUCAAUUCCUCUCGCUGAAACAGAAGCUUGGGGAUUAUGGAAAUUUCAACCCCCUACGAAGAAAGCAGAAUAUGGAGUCGUGAGCCCACAACACCCAGCCAUUCCAGCUUCAUUCUCACCUCCUCUUACACCCCCUGAAAGGCCCAAAGGGAAGGGUCCAGUUCGGAAAACGGGUGCACCUGGCAAGCCUGUGCCAACAGGAGAGUUCUCCCUUGAUCUCGUCUUUCCCGGACCCAGUCCUGCGACAAACGGCAGGCGCUGCAGCACGUCGUGCUCUCGAUGUCACGGGAAGCAGAAGCCCCCGGGAGGGUUCUGAGCCGUACAGGGUCUGGGGUGGGCCAAGGUGACCGUGCCACCCCAGGCAUGGUCCCCCCCGACCCCCGGCCCCGAGGAGGGUCUAAGGAGACCGCCCCUCCGCGCAGCCCCUCCCUGCCCCGGGCUCCUCCCUGAUCAGCAGCUGCCCCGCCAGCCCAGAGCCUGGUUCAACGGGGACUUCGCGGAUCUUCGUGACGAUGGGGCAGAGAAGAAAAUGACGAGUUGAGACCAAACCCUUUACAGCUGAAAACUAAAUUCACUCCUGGCAAAGGAGGCAAAGCCACCGGCCCCAGACCAAGCGCAGAAUCUUCACUAUUCAGGCUAAGAGGAUACGGGCCCUAGCGAAGCCGCCACCCCGGUCGCACCUGCUUCUCCCUCUGUCCCCUCCCAUCGGCGUCACUUUAGGGGGAACGUCUCCAAACGACCCCGUGUAAGAGUCACAAUAUAACAAAUACCAGGAAUUAAACCCUGUGAUGCAAUGCAAGUGUGAAAGAGUCCCUUUUAUCCCGACGGAAACAUCUAAUGACACUUGAAUAACCAGGAGAUUAUCACUUUUCUAUCAAAACACACAGACAACACAUGGUACUAAGAUCUCAAAAAUUACAAGCGCUUGAGUUUGCAAAGAACGUCUGAAAUGGUCAUCAGCGCAUCUCUAACAACGUACAGACUCUUCUGAUGAAUAUUAGACAAUGUUCAAUGUGUCACCACGGGCAACACAACUGCUUUUCUGAUUACGCUCUUUCCUGAUUUAUGACAUGAGUUACAAGCCCACACUGGGAGGGGGAGCAGCAGCGAGCACUCCGUAAUUCUGACUUACAAGCACUUUGGGGAAGCUGGGCACGGCCACUCCACUAAUUAAGCAGCCUCUGAUACGAAGCAGAGAUUCACACAAAGACAGCUCUUUAUUCUUAUUUCUGCUCCAUACAGAAUAAACGGAACUAAAGCAUCACUACCGCCCGAGCGCGUGCUCAUAUUUCCUUCACCCAGCAUUCCGAAUCCAGAAUCGCCUGCAGUUCUUCCCGCUGCAGCUGCCCUUGGAAAUUUCAGGCGACCUAGUUUUGCAGAAUAAGCCACAAACCUUCCAAAGAGUAAAAGUCUUAGAAACUACAAAUCCCUAAGAGAACAGUCUUUUAAAAAAAUCUUAUUAAGUGACCACAAAGCAGCGUGGCCAUGCAGAGGACGUGUUUUCUCACUCCCCACCACCCUCUGCUCCCGUCAUAUGAACAAAGAAGGACCAGAGCUCAAGGGCCGCACUCGUCCCCACCGCGGCCUCGGCCUGGAAGGCCAGCUGGGGAGCAGCAAGCUGUCUGUGGGACCAAAAAGAGAGCCGGGGCCACACAGCCUGCAGCACCCAAAGCAGGACAAAGGACACGAGUUGUCAGCUGAAGGUGACAGAGAGCCACUCCCAGCACCGGGAAUAAGGUCAGGAUACCCCCGUGACCACUCCCAUUCAGUACCACACUGGAGAUGCUCGCCACGGUGACAAGGCAAGAAAAAGAAAUGGAAGGCACAAGGAUGAGAGAGGAAAAAGAUCCCGAACUGUCCACGGAGAAGCUACUGAUGGCUGUCAAAAUUCCUCAAUGAACUUCUCAAGAUCAGUGGUACAAGGUCAACACACAAAAACCCACUGCCUUUCUGCACACCAGCAAACAGAAACAAGCUUCGAAAGAAGCUGCCGUUUACAGUAACACCCAACACUGGCAGAUACCCAGGGCUAAAUCUACCAAAAGAGAACUUUGCGCAUUAAACUAUGGAACGUCAUAAGGAAAGGUAAAGAUGGAAACGAAGGGAGGAAUGAGUCACACACGUGGGCUGGAAAACCCAAUACGGCUAAGACGUCGAUGUGCCCCAAUUAACUGGUCAUCGGUGCAACUCAAACAAAAUCCCAGCAGAAUGUUUCUGUAAGUUUACAAAACAAGUUAAUGUCAAAUUUUAUGUGGAAGAACAAAGGUCCUGGAAGAGCCAUCUUGAGGGAAAGCAGACCUGGAGAACUUACAUCACUAAAUGUCAAGAUUUAUUAUAAACUUGUGUAAUUAAGACACUGUGUACAAAUAAACAAAUAAAACAAGGCACAGAAUAUUCUAGAGUGAGACCAUCACAAACACGGUGACAUGACUAUAACAAAGGCACCCGAAUCCACAGGGAAGAGGCUGGAUCUUUUCGAUGAGCAGUGCUUGAACCAACUGCUAUCUUUAUGGAAACUGAACUGAACCAUGAUCUGGGCCGCAUACCAUCAAGAGACCUAGUCUGGGUGGAUCACAGAUCUAAGUGCUAAAGGUAAGAUGAGAAAGUCUCGCCUAAACGACAACAAGGAAAGGGUCAGCGGGUAGACCAAGAUUUCCUAAACACAUGUGAAUGGCUUCCCACUGUGGCACAACAGGACGGAUGGUGUCUUGGGAGCGCAGGGACACAGGUUCGAUCCCCAGCCCAGAACAAUGCGAUGAGGAUCCGUUGUUGCCGCAGCUUUGGCUGAGGUGCAACUGCAGCUUGGAUCUGAUCCCUGGCCCAGGAACUCCAUACGCCAUGGAGCAGCCAAAAAAAAGGAAAAAAAAUUAAAAAUUACAAAAAAAACCCAAACACGUUAUGGUACUGACCACAGAGAAAAGAAAAUGACACAUAUGGCAUAAAAGCGAGAACUCCCGGGGUUCCCAUCAUGGCUCAGCGGUUAAUGAACCCGACUAACAUCCAUGAGGAUACGGGUUUGAUCCCUGGUCUCGCCUAGUGGGUUAAGGAUCCGGCAUUGCCAUGAGCUGUGGUGUAGGUCACAGCCAAGGCUUGGAUCCUGUGUGGCUGUGGCUGUGGUGUAGGCCAGCGGCUGCAGCUCCGAUUCGACCCCUAGCCUGGGAAGCCUCCCUUUGCCACGGGUGUGGCCCUAAAAAGACAGAAAGACCAAAAAAAAAGAAUAAGAGAAGAUCGAAUGCCCGGUGCAUUCAGCCCAGAACCCGGAUCCAAAGUAAGUAAUUCUCACACGUCGUCCAGAAAAAGGCAGACAACCCAAAGGAACAGCGGGCAAACGCUGCGAACAGGUCCUUUCACAAAAGAGGACUCCAAAUGGUCAACCACCCGGGGAGGCGCUGCGCCUCGGGAAUAACAGGGAAAUGCAAAUUAAAGCCACCACAACGGGGUCCCGCCAAAAGCGCACCUUUAAAAGCAACUCGACGGCCGCACGUCGAGGUCUCCAUCUGGAGCGUGCGGGGCACGUGCUGCCCGCAAAGCCACGCCAGGCGCACGCCGGCAGGGGCACUCCCUGCUCCUCAGAGCCACUCACCCGGUGACACAGCAGCCUGGUCUGCGGUCACCGAAAACUGGAAACCUCCCACGUGUCCACGGGCAGUGAAAGGUCAGGAAGCUGAGAUCACGGUACCGUCACGCCGGCCAUCACUGUCCGCAACGAGGGUAAGGGAGCCGAGCAUCGCUGUGGCCCAAGGCGAGCUCACACGUCCUUCAGUAAACCGUCUGAGCCUAGAAUGACCCAGGCACCCAAAAGCAGCAGCACAGAUGAACGACCCCGUGGGGCCAGAGCAGACAGACACCCAGGCCAUACAGACCCAGCGACUCCACGCGUAUGCAAUCCCAAGGCCCAAGAAAGGCACCCGUGCUAUUGCAAGCGGAGAAGGGCGCCCCGGGGCAUCGAAGGAGGAACCAGGGGGUGGACGGCAAUGUUCUGUUUCCUGAAAAAUCAGUGAAAAGGUGGAGACUCACCCACCUGAACGCUCCUGGCUGGAAACAGAGCAUCAACCACUCAAAAAAAGCAUCCUGCAUCAAAGGAAGAGUCAAAAUAACGCCU